rnacentral:rRNA from 1 species
GACGAACGCUGGCGGCGUGCUUAACACAUGCAAGUCGAACGGAAAGACCCUGCUUUUGUGGGGUUCUCGAGUGGCGAACAGGUGAGUGACACGUGAGUAACCUGCCCUUGACUGUGGGAUAACUUCACGAGACUGGGGCGAAUACAGGAUAUGAUCUCCUGCUGCAUGUGGUGGGUUGGAGAGUUUCGGCGGUUGUGGAUGGACUCGCGGCAUAUCAGCUUGUUGGUGUGGUAGUGGCUUACCAAGGCUUUGACGGGUAGCCGGCCUGAGAGGGUGACCGGCCACAUUGGGACUGAGAUACGGCCCAGACUCCUACGGGAGGCAGCAGUGGGGAAUAUUGCACAAUGGGCGGAAGCCUGAUGCAGCAACGCCGCGUGCGGGAUGACGGCCUUCGGGUUGUAAACCGCUUUCGCCUGUGACGAAGCGUGAGUGACGGUAAUGGGUAAAGAAGCACCGGCUAACUACGUG